rnacentral:rRNA from 1 species
CCUACGGGAGGCAGCAGUCGAGAAUCAUUCACAAUGGGGGAAACCCUGAUGGUGCGACGCCGCGUGGGGGAAUGAAGGUCUUCGGAUUGUAAACCCCUGUCAUGUGGGAGCAAAUUAAAAAGAUAGUACCACAAGAGGAAGAGACGGCUAACUCUGUGCCAGCAGCCGCGGUAAUACAGAGGUCUCAAGCGUUGUUCGGAAUCACUGGGCGUAAAGCGUGCGUAGGCUGUUUCGUAAGUCGUGUGUGAAAGGCGCGGGCUCAACCCGCGGACGGCACAUGAUACUGGGAGACUAGAGUAAGGGAGGGGGAACCGGAAUUCGCGGUGUAGCAGUGAAAUGCGUAGAUAUCGAGAGGAACACUCGUGGCGAAGGCGGGUUCCUGGACAUUAACUGACGCUGAGGCACGAAGGCCAGGGGAGCGAAAGGGAUUAGAUACCCCAGUAGUC